rnacentral:rRNA from 1 species
UACGUAGGGAGCGAGCGUUGUCCGGAUUCAUUGGGCGUAAAGAGCUCGUAGGCGGCUUGGCAAGUCGGGUGUGAAAACUCCAGGCUCAACCUGGAGACGCCACCCGAUACUGCCAUGGCUAGAGUCCGGUAGGGGACCACGGAAUUCCUGGUGUAGCGGUGAAAUGCGCAGAUAUCAGGAGGAACACCGGUGGCGAAGGCGGAUCUCUGGGCCGAUACUGACGCUGAGGAGCGAAAGCGUGGGGAGCGAACAGG